AAAGAAGAGGAGAAACAUUACUACUCACCAAUACAAACGAAAACAUUUUGUUGCACUUUGGAUUUAAGUGGCACAAUUAAGUAGAAUACUAGCAUAAGACAGAUUAAUUUUUCCUUUUUUUCCGUACCUGCCCACUUCCUCACACACAUUUUCUGUUCCUCAAAUUCAUGAGGGAAUUCACUUUUAUAAAACAUGAAUCCAGUAAAGCUAUAAGCAUAAAGCCUUAAAAUUAAAUAUUUAUCUAAAAUUCUAUUAAAUCAUAGCUAUCAAUAGACACUACAUCUAUGGACUACAAAAAAAAUACUAAGGAACUCAGCUCUUCAGGUAUUCCUGGUCCGCAAGAAAUUCCCGCAGGGUCUUUUUCAUUAAGGCAGUGAAAUUUGUACCUAUUUUGAACAACGAUAUUUUUGUGCAAGUGUUAUGAGCUGACCAUUGACACAAGAAUUCCAGAUUUAGUUUAUUAGCAGAUUAGCUACCGACACUGUAAGCUCCCAGUGUUAUCAGUGAUCUACCCAAAUGCAUGUACAUACAUGUGCCAUACACCAAAAGACACGGAAAAGAUUUGGUAGAAGGUAAACUCUGUGGAAUAGCCAGGUUAUUCAUUUAUAUGGCUGACGUUUAACUUGAACUUAAGAAAUGUUGCCCAAAUAGAGGAUUACGAUGAAUGUACCAAACCCCAAAUUACUCAAAUGUUUGUAGAAACCAACAAACAUCAUGAGUUACUAUCAGAAGCUAUGAAAAGUUUCAAGUCAUGUCAGAAGACAGCAUUUCAAAGGAAGUUUAUUACUCGCUUAAAAGAGUCAAUAUGCAUACAGAUAUUAUUCCACAGCACACUCUUUAUUUUCACUUAAACACAAAUCCUUAGAACUUGACACUAGGUACUAAAUCUAAGUACAUUUUCACUUCUGGAUAUAUGUUGUGCUACAACCUGGGAAGUACAGUAUACAGUAGUCCAGAAAAUAGGUACUUGUGAUCAACAGUGGAUACAAUUUAAAUUGGG